GCUCAGUAGCUCGAUACAACCACAUUUCUCCACAGACACGUCUUCCCUUAUUGAAAGGUAAUGGUGGGAACCAACCUAAGGACAUGCAAAAUGCAAGAUUUUUUAAUCAAUGAGAAGCUAUUAAUUUAACCAACUCUUCCUGUAAUAAUAUUGAGACAGACUGUCUGCCUGUUUUUACAUUAUAGCUAGCUUUGCAAUCUGUGUGGAACGUAAUGAGGUGUGUAAUUUUUGUGAAUUUAUUGAUUGUGAAUAAGUAGUAAGAAUUUAAAGCUGACAGAUUGUAGCACUUUUCUCACUUAGUUCUUUAAAAAUUAGCUCGUUUAGUAUCAGCUGUUGACUUUUGCCACCGCAUAUGGAAUUCAUUUUGAUGGGGGUUUUUUUGGCGGGUGGGGGGAAGAUAAGUUAUAUUCGAAUAGAGUCUUGCUCUUAUUCAACGGAUCAGGGAAAAGCUUGAAAUGUAUGUAAAAUCUCCACUGCUGCUUCAAGUGCUCCACUUAACAGCAUGAUCCUAUGCAUGCUUUCUAAAAAGUAAGUCCCGUUGUGCUCAUUGUGCUUACUCCUAGGAAAAGGAAUGCAGGAUUGCUACCUAAAUAAUGGAAUAUAGGGGUACAGCCUGGUGGCAUUACAAGUGUUGGCUUAAUAGUGUAUAAAAUAAUAGAUAAGCUCAUCUGUACAUAGAGAACAUAAGAUGAGUCUGUUGGACCAGGCCAAUGGCAUCUCCCAGUGGCCAACCAGAUGCCUAUGGGAAGUUUGAAAGCUGAACAUAAACAACAGAACUCUACUGUUCGAGCAACAGACCCUUGCUCCAAAUCUCUUAUUUAUGUCACAUUAGGCUGAAAGAGAUGAGAAAUAAAACAAUUUUUGUGGUAGCAACCUUGUCAUGAAACUCCCUUUCCUGGGGAGCCUUUCCAGACAGACGCCUUGUGAUUUUAUUGAUUUAUUUGACAAAUAUUGGCAGUCUAUUAACAAUGUUCUCUGGCUGGUUCAGUUCUCUGAAAAGGGAGUUAGCUACCUCUGGUCUAGUUGUAAUGGUCUAGUUGUUACCUGCUGUCAGGGAUUGGGCUCAAGAGGGGGAGAUGGAGGAGGAGGGGGAAUGGUGGAGAUCACGCCCCCCCUUCUCCUGAUGCUGCAGGAGAGGGGGAAGGCAGUGCUGAAUUCCAGCAGGGCUUUGAGGAAUUUGAGGAAGGUCACAGCUCAGAGAUAGACAAACGGAGAAGUUGGGCAGUGUUGGAAGAAGAAGGGGGGACUGCAAAGGGGCAGCUAGAUGACACAUUGUCACUGGAGAGCAUUUCUGAUCCCCCUUCUCCCAGAAUGCAAUGUUUGUUAAGAGUACAGGAACAAAGGACUCAGAGACAUUUGGCCACAAGUGGCCACCAUAAGGGAAGAUGCAGUUGUUAGGAUGGAGGGAGGAGGAGCCUAGUUUGGAGCAACACUAUUGUUGAGGCUUGUUGCGUUCUUUUGCCUCUCACUAUUCAGAUUGAAUAAAACUCAUUAAAAAUACAGUCAUACCUCGGGUUGCGAGCGUGAUCUGUGCGGGAGGCACCUUCGCAACCCGCAGAGCUGUGUCUGCACACGCAUGCGCGUGAUGCAAUUCGGUGCUUCUGAGCAUGCUCUUGACAUCAUUUUGUGCUUCUGCGCAUGCAGCGAAACCUGGAAGUAACCCAUUCCAGUACUUCCGGGUUUGGCGCAGUCCGCAACCCGAAAAUGCGCAACCCGCAGAGUUCGCAGCCCAAGGUAUGACUGUACCUUGUUUUCUCUGCUGCAACUGGGGGAGGAAUAGCUUUCCUAAGCCUUGGCAGAGCCUUGACACCUGCUUUACCCCUUCAGGCAGGAAAACCUGAAGAAGGACGUCCGGUCAAAAUGUGGACAGGUGGAGGUGAUCCUUCAGGAAACCUGGCUCCAAGUCAUUUAGAAAAUGGGGCAGUGGGAAGAGUUCACAGAAGCUGACUGCAUCAAAUUUGCGUAGGAGUGGGUGAAUUUGUCCAUUUAGGUUUCUCUUGUUUUCACAUUGUUCUAGUCUUAACAUUCAGUUCUCCGCAUUUCCACCUCGGUCUGAGUUUUCUAUUUUUAAAGCAUUUCUCCUAAUAUGCACAUUUUUUGUGCAUGUGAUUUUGCCUAUAACGAACAUUUUUGCAAAACAUUUCCCGUAGCACAUGCUAAAAACAUUCGUGUUUAGAUAAGGCUACCCAGACGCUUAGGAAGCUGAGGUAAUUUCAAUCUGGUUUUGUAUUUCAGCUUUUGUAUGUUUUAAAGUAGGGGUUGUGGGUUUUUCUACAUCUCAGUGUUUUUGCUCUCAAAAAAAUGCUUUGAGAUUUAUUAAUUUUUUUUACAAGCAAGCAGUGUAUACAUACUAUGAAAUUAUAUAUAUAUAUAUAUAUAUAUAUAUAUAUAUAUAUAUGCAUGUCAUUUUCAUGAAUAUACAUCACACAUUUUUAUGCACACUUUAGCACAGUAUAUGGAUCUUUGUGCACAUUACUUGUCUGGAGAACUGCACUGCAAAAUUCAGAGAAGUGUGGAUUUUGAAGGAUGGUUGCAUUUCAGCUCUUUUACUGUUUCAGAAAGCAUGAGUUGCGUAGACUUGCCUUUAAAAGUGAAUCAAAUUUCUCCUUCAUUGCUAGGUAUGACACACAAGGCAAUAUCAGCAAGCCAGCUCUAGUUUAGAGCAUAAAAUGAUUCCAACUAAUAGCUGAAUAGGCAGACUUUAAAAAAAUAUGAGCACAUAUCUAAUGUAUAACUACAUCAUUUUAAGAAGAAGAUUUUCUAAAUCAGUUUAAACUGCUCCCCCCCAUCCAUGCUAAGUUAUGGCAUAUUUCUACAAUAAACUUAAAAAUAAGUAUUCAAAGAAGGAACCUGCUGUCAGCAGAUGGUUACAGGAUUUUGCAGUUCUUGAUUGAUCUAUUAUCUCUGCAAUAUUUCUCUGAUCUUUUCAUCUGCAUUCUGCACACCAUCUAACACCUUAUGACAUUAUGUGUGAUAGCUGUGGUACUUCUAUAGCUAGCACUUAUAUUUUCUGACAGGUACAGAUCUGUCUCGAAACAAUUUUUGCAAAGUCUUGAACAUUUUAAUGUAUUUUUGUCAGGAUUUUCAAACCUGAUAUUAAGUGAGUAGUCAACAGCUGUUGAUUCAUAUUGUGUGCAUGUGCGUGUUUUAAAACACACACACACACACACACACACACACACACACUCUUUCUUUCUUUUCUUUUCUUGCUUUUUGAUGUAUCUUUUCUCAGAUAUCAAGGAAUGCCAGCACAGCUUUUGCAAUUAACUCAUAUAUUACUUUCUGCAUAAUGCACUUGAAGUCCUAAUUAAGGAGUUUAAUCAGAUAGAGUUAGCUCUGCUUUUGUCCGUUGAACUCAUGCACUCUGUUGGUAGCUGAGUGGUACACCGUGUGUUUAUUUAAGCACCAAAUGUAUGCCCAGUAUGUUUUCAUUUGUUUAAGGGACAUACAUGCAGAAGUAUGUUGUCAUAGUUUAUUAAAAACACUUAUAUGCUGUCUUUUAUCAUAAUGAAAGAAGGGCUGUAACUCAUUUGUAGAGUAUCUGCUUUGCUUGAAAAAAGGUCCCAGUUUAAAUCCCUGGCAUCUCCAAGCAGGUUUGGAGAGACGGCAAUCCAAAAUCCUGGAGAACCACUGGGCCAAUAGUCUGACUUUUGUAUAAGGCAGCUAGGGUUUUAGUGCAUUUGCUUGAAAGCAGAGCUGUCAAAAAGACAUAAUCAGCAGACCAAGUUGAUGGAGUAUGCUGAAAUGGCAAAAUUAAUUGGGAAGCUCAGGAACCAAGAAGACAAGAAAUUGAAAAAAGAAUGGGAAAUGUUUAUAAUGUAUAUACAAAAUCAUUGCAAACAGGUCAAAACAUUAGCAGGAUUUUAAAUACAUUUGUAAUGUAAUAGAAACUACAGAUAAUUUAGGAAGAUGAAAGAAAUGGAGAAGUAUUGAUAUAUGCAGAUGAAAACAGAAUUAAGAGGACCCCUGGAUGGGAUGGCGGGAAAUCGGGAGAUGCAGAAUAAUCUCGAUAUGUGAAUGUGUAUGGCAUUUUGAUGUAACUUUUUCUUUUUUCUUCCUUUUUCUUUUUGUUCUUCUUUCUUUUCUUUCUUUUUGAAAAUCAAAUCAAUUUUUUUUUAAAAAAAAACCACAUAAUCAAACUUUGUAUUUUUAUCUCUAGUUGUUUUGAAAUAAAAGUGAGGUCAGAGUUGCUGAAAUACUUUUUUGUGAAAUCUCUGGUGCUUCUCCUUUUUUCAUGAUGGUUAAUUAUUUUCUCAUAAACAUAUACAAGUGCAGAUCACUUAAUAUCAGUAGAUAGAGGAAUAACAUGGUGGAAAUUGUACCACUGAUGAGCUUAUCAAAAAGAUUUAACGAGAUUGCCACUGAGUCACAGAUUCGAGGUUGCCUGUUUACAUGACAAAUUAAAACUGAACAGGCUACUGUACAAUGCUGACCUGACAUAUUUAAAAGAGCACUAAAAGAAUAAGCAGGUAAAACUAUUAUGAGAUGAACAAGAGUUAAUGUGACCAGGCAUAUAAUAUAAACCACAUCUAAAAAAUCUGUUGGAUAUAAAUCAAUGGGUCAUGAAAAUUUAAGGAAAUUUAACUUGCCUAACUCCCUUUCCGAUUUAAUAGGAUCCAUUAAAUAGGAAACAGUAUAGCUAGCUAAUGAAAAGAACACCAAAGUUAUCACGUUCUGUUGUGUCCUCCCUGGGUCCUUUUGUCCUUUGAUUGCACUGGUAGAUAAUAUUAUUUUGUUCCCAAGGAAAUAUGUCCCUUUGAUUAGGUUGUAGAUAUUCUCUCAUUUGUCAUUGUUCUAUCGAGCUCUGCCAUAUAACAGCAGGAACCCUUGAUUAUUUAAUUGCUUGUAAGAACUCAUUAAAUCUUACUAUCAAUCAUGGGACAUAUGGUAAAUAUCACCCAAUGGUACAAGAGAUUGUUACAGAGACCUGUCACUAGGGCAUACCAUUUGCUUUUAUAUUAUGAGUCUAUUGUUUGGUUGCCCAGCCACAAUUAUUUUUAAUUACUAAUGAUUUACGGAUAAUAGUUCAUCUACUGAUAUGAGCAUGUUCUUAGAAAGAACACGAAAAACACUGGCAAUUUAAAAAGUAGGCGUUUCUGGACAGCUGAUAUAUUAUAGCAGCUAAGAGAAUUAACUUUGAUCCAUGAACUUGCUGGUUCAAGGCUCACCUCAGCCAUGACCUCACUAAGUAUGGCUUCUUCUGCAAUGCAGGAAUGAUGAAUAUGGCUUUGCAGGCCUGUUUUUAAGUAUUACUAUGUUAGCAUAUGUGAUGUCUUUUGAGCAUGCUUAAAUUAUUGCACAUUUUCAUUCAUUUUACAGAUGCUGGUCCUGGGCCAAUGAAUAUCUGAUCUUUAUACCAACUUGCUGGCUUGAAUGUGGAUGGAGAGUUGAAUAAAAAGUAAAACCAAAGAGGUCACAAUGACAGACCAAAGGUGUCCACCUUCCAGGAAGAUAACUGCCAAUACCAUAUUGGCCCGAAUAUAAGCCGCACCUUUAAAAUUCAAGGGAGGGGGGGAAAAGAAGACAAUACCCAAAUAUAAGCCGCUCCCUUAAAAUUAUGCAGGCACUCACACCCGUAAAUGGCAAAAAUCUACAGCGAUAUUGAAAAAGCCAAUUUUUAUAAGGUUGCAAAUUUAAGUCACACUUUAACUUUUCACGGUCGGAAUUUGGGAAAAAAGUACCGGUUUUUUUGCCCUAUAGGACGCACUUUUUCCCCUCCAAAAAUGAAGGGGAAAUGUGUGUGCGUCCUAUGGGGCGAAUGCAGGCUUUCGCUGAAGCCUGGAGAGCGAGAGGAGGCGCACGGUCCUCCGCUCCAGGCACCGACCCUCUCGCUCUCCAGGCUUCAGGAAGCUAUCCGCUAGCCGUGGGAGACAUAGCUCUCCCAUGGCUAGCGGAGAGCUUGCUGGCACCCAGAAGCUUGGGGCAUGCUGAGCUCAGCACACCCCAAGCUUCGGGCUUCGCGCAGCGCUCCGCUAGCCGUGGGAGAGCUGCAUGACUUCACGCAGCUCUCCCACGGCUUGCAGAUAGCAGCCUGUUCUGGGGGCUGGGGUCGGGGGAAGCUCGGACUUCCCCCGCCCCAGCCCCACACCGGGGGGGAAAUAAAUUUUUUUUCUUUAUUUCCCCCCCCCAAAAAAAAACUAGGUGCGUCCUAUGGGCCGGUGCGUCCUAUGGGGCGAAAAAUACGGUAUUUCAUUUAAUUGAACAUAUUAAUAUUAUUAUUAUUUAUUCAACUUAUACACUGCCCUCAACCCAAAGGUCUCAGGGCGGUUCACAACAAGACCACAACAUAUAAAAUCAAACCAAAAGUAAUAACCCAAUAACGUGCCCCCUCCCAAGCCACAUUGGGUGUCAACCAAAGGCCUGGUUAAAAAGGAACGUUUUUGCCUGGUGCCUAAAGGUGUAUAUGUGAUUUCUGAACAUGAAGGAAAUCUAGAGAGUUCUGAGGAAAGAGAUCGGGUUGUACACGGCCCCCCCAUCCCAAAUCUAGGACUGGAGUGAGUAGCUUAAUUUUAUGCCAAUGACCUUUUACUUUGAAAUAAGAACUUAAUAGAAAUUGGUGACACUCUGGUUAAACAUUCAAUUUUAUCUAUUUCGAAGGCAGUUAAGCAACGCAGUCAUCCUAGAUCGUACCUUUUGCCUUCUGCUGGGACAUGCUAGGCCUGAUGAGUGGUUUUUAUUGAUAAUUUGAAAGUAGUUACCAGAUCACUUGGCUUUUUUUCUCUGGUACCAAAUGGACUGCUUCAAAAGUGGGUUGAGGACUAUUGUUUUAACUACUUUUAAGAUCACUGUGUGAGUGAUUUAUCACAAACAAUCAUUUUGAAAAAGGGUGCCCACUAAGAAGAUAUCAUCCGAUAUAAUAUUAUAGUAUUAUGUUACCCUCACAUGUAACUUUAAUCACAAAUUGUUACUGUGUCUAAGACAUCAAAACAUUUUAUACAGUGUGAAAUGCAUUCAAAUUUAUGGAUGGCAGUACUACUUAGGAGGCAAUCAUACUACAGAGCUGAUGUAUAUGCUUCACUCUUAACAGUCGAAUGGCUUUAACUAAAGGGACUCCUACCAUCAUCUAUUGAUGAGAACUUCUUUACAUUACAGUAACAUUAUUACUUUAUAGAGUUGGGCCAAAGAGGUCAACUCAGGAGUAAUGAAUAAUGCCUUUCAGUAAAACCAGAGAAUGAUUGUUUGUGUGGCAAUCUCUCAGUGAAAGUUUUCCAAAGAGGCUGUGAGCUUAUGCCACAAAGUACAGAAAGUCUUCCAGGAAGCAAGUGCUGAAGCUUAGAUCAGGGAGCAGAACCCAUUAAAAGCCAUUAAAGAAACCCAAACUAUAGUCUGAAGGUAAAAAAUGGAUUGAUCUCCUGUAGCUGUAAAAGCAAUAGAAUUUCCAUUUAUUAAUUAAAAGUGCAUUUUAUGUAGUUUGAUGUGAUAAAUUGUUUGACUGUUUAGAUUAAUUCUUUCAGAAAUGCCCCAAAGGCUAUUAACAUUGAUAAAUUAUGCACUACUCCUUGUUAGGUUUGAUAGACAGCUUUCACAGGUAGGCUGCAUUUUUCUUUGGGGAUAUAGGCGGUUAUCUGUAGUUAGCAGCAGUGAGAAUUGCAGCUUGUCCUGCUUUCUCAGCUAGAAAGAAACAAAAGAUCCCAAUCCACAUCAACACUCUUUUGGGUGUGGUUUUCAUUUCAUCCUUUGAGGAUGGAAGGUCCUUAGUCUUAGGCUAUCCUGUCUGGAAUCUCCCAUCUUGCCCAGUAAUGUAUUCUGGAGAAAAAUGGAUGAUUUGGUACAAAUCUCAUAGGAGCCCUGUUCACAUAUUACUCACACAGGGAUUAGUCAUGAUUCACCUUCAACCCUGAUACCAUGGAAUGCACCUAGACGAUGCCAGAGAACUUGCGACCCUCUAGAUGCUAUUGGACUCCAACUCCUAUCAUCUGUAACUAUUGACAAUGCUGGCUCAUAGAAUCAUGGGAUUUGGAGUCCAACAUCAUCUGGAGGGCCACAGGUUCUCAAUCCUUCCAUUAGAACAUCUGGGUGUAUAUUUGGCAAAUAUUCAAUGACUGUCUGGCAAAUAUUAAAGAGCAAAAAUCUGCAUUUUUGAGAAUUUUGGGGAGCAAAUUCAUUUCAGCUCCAGUUGGAACUGAUCAUUUCAAAUCAACCCGUGAAGUGUAGCUGUAUUCACUGCCAUCCUUUAGAUGCCCAUUCAAAACGAUGUUUAUCCAGGUAGUUAUGCAGGUAUUGAAAUGCAAUUUUGCAAGAACGCCAGUGUAAUUUCAGGAGGGAUGGUGCCACAAAGAUCUUGAGUGUGGCUGUACAAUGCGUCAUUUAUCAAACAAUCCAUCCAAAAUUGGUUCGGAAAAUGCAAUAUUUAGGGCUUUCAUGUUUAAUGUGCUGUCUCUUAUCGUUUACAUUGUUGAUUUUAACCAACGGGUUGUACAUCCCCCUGUGUGCAGUUUAGUAUCUGGCAUCCACUGUCAUUUGAGGCCAAAUGUACCAAUGGCAAAUGUACCAUUUUGGCAGCAGCACAUGGCUGCCUAUUGAUUCUGAAUUGUUAGCUGUUGCUGGCUUGUUGGCACAAUUGAAUACUAGUCCCAAAUGAGUAUUUUGUGCUGUCGAAUGCUUUCCAGUACACAAAGCAGCCAGCCAAGAAGAGAAUGAUAAUUCUGGAACCUUUUCCUCAUGUUUUGUGCUGCUUUUUAAAGUUCAGCAUGAGUUGGACCAUUGUAAAGCUAAACUUUCAUAAUACAGUGUAUAUUUCU